ACAAAAAAAAUGUGGGGUUUAAAUAGAAAAACUCAAUAAAAAUCCCAUCUUGUUCGUCCUAUUGCUGCAUGCUGGGUGUUAAUUUCUUGGUUCGUUGAUUGGCAAGGAGCUUCUGUAUACGAAUUUUAAUGGGAACUUCGGAGUUUCCAGAUCUGGGUCGGCAUUGCUACGUCGCCGAUUGCCAGCAGAUCGAUUUCUUGCCCUUCACCUGCGAUAGCUGCCAUCAGGUUGGGUUGGGGAAGAUGAGAUGGGGGUGCCUUUUUCUGGGUUUGUAAAUAAUUCUGGAAGGAGCAGCUCAUCCAUGCUAACUGAAAGGACGCUUUUACCUCUAAUUUUGACGGACAAAUUGACAGAUUUGGACGGCAGGACCUAAUUGCAACUGUUUAUCGAGUUAAAGGAUGUAAUUGCCGAAAAAAAAAGUCCACGGACCCAAUUACAAAUGGGGGCCAAGUUCAUGGACGUCUAUAGUAAUUAACCCUUUAGGAUAUAUAUGCUUGUGCUUUACCUCGUCACUAGGAGCGUGGUACCUUUGGCUUGACACGUGGAGGGCAGUCCAGCCCUUGAUUUGUUGGACUAUGGUUUUUGAUUGAGAUGGGUUUUGUUUUUGUAGGGUGGGGUCUUAAAAAGAAGGGAGCUUGUGUCGAUUAUGGAAUGUUGUUGGGAUCUUUUUUUUUGGCACUAA